GACGAACGCUGGCGGCGUGCCUAAUACAUGCAAGUCGAACGAGAGCGACCGGUGCUUGCACUGGUCAAUCUAGUGGCGAACGGGUGAGUAACACGUGGGUAACCUGCCCAUCAGAGGGGGAUAACAUUCGGAAACGGAUGCUAAAACCGCAUAGGUUCUUGAGUCGCAUGACUGAAGAAGGAAAAGAGGCUUCGGCUUCUGCUGAUGGAUGGACCCGCGGUGCAUUAGCUAGUUGGUGAGGUAACGGCUCACCAAGGCCGUGAUGCAUAGCCGACCUGAGAGGGUGAUCGGCCACAUUGGGACUGAGACACGGCCCAAACUCCUACGGGAGGCAGCAGUAGGGAAUCUUCCGCAAUGGACGCAAGUCUGACGGAGCAACGCCGCGUGAGUGAAGAAGGAUUUCGGUUCGUAAAACUCUGUUGUUAGAGAAGAACAGCGCACAGAGUAACUGUUAUGCGUGUGACGGAUCUAACCAGAAAGCCACGCA
rnacentral:rRNA from 1 species